rnacentral:rRNA from 1 species
GACGAACGCUGGCGGCGUGCUUAACACAUGCAAGUCGAACGAAGUGGCGAACGGGUGAGUAAUACGUGAGUAACCUUCCCUCCUUUUUGGGAUAAGCCUUGGAAACGGGGUCUAAUACCGGCUAAAGGGGGAUGGGCUCGCGGCCUUUCAGCUUGUUGGUGGGGUGAGGGCCUACCAAGGCGGUGCCGGGUGGCCGGCCUGAGAGGGUGACCGGCAACGUAGGGACUGAGAUGCGGCCCAGACGAUGACGGGAGGCGGCAGUGGGGGAUAUGGCACAAUGGGCGAAGGCGUUAUGCAGCGACGCCGCGGGGGGGAUGAAGGCUUUGGGGUUGUAAACCUCGUUCGCUAUGGAGCUGGUAGGUGGAGAAGAAGCGCCGGCUAACUACGUGCCAGCAGCCGCGGUAAUUC